rnacentral:lncRNA from 1 species
CCUUGUUUAAUGCGAAGAUACAUAUACUUUGUUCUUAUUCUUCUUUUUCCAAAUUAGUAAAUAUUAAACUUGUGUGAUAUAACACUUCAAUAUAUACGCCUUUGCUGGUAAACGUAAAUGUAUGACACAACACGAACAAAUAAUAUAUAUGCUUGACGUAAUACUAACAAUAAUGGAAAAGAAUCAAAGAGUGGAAUUGGGUGAAGGCAGCGCAUCU